CUGCUGUUGAUGACCUAUAACCAAGUCAAUGUGAUUCUGGAUCAAUCUUGAACUAUUUGUUUAUUAACUAUAUAUCUUAGAUUAUUGUAGGUGUGUGUGACAGGGGCAUCAGACCAGGCUUUUAGGACUCUACAGACCAGAGCUGUGGGUGCGUAUAUCUCUCCUUCUCUUUAUCCACCUAUAUAUGUACCAUACAAACACACACACACACACACACAGAAAAGGCAAACACCCUCACAUUUAUUUUAUACAAUUUUUAGCUCAAUUUCUUUACAUUCACCUUUAUGCCUGUACACAUACAUAUUAUCUGUAUGACAUGGCAGAGAAAUUGAUAGAUAAUAUAUAUAUAUUUAAACAAAUCAGUUUUAGCCACCACAUCGCCAUGCUUUGUAUCAAAGGACUGUACAGCCGAUAUGAUAAUUAAAGGCCCUAAACUGAAGGUAAAAGCUAUAUAAAACUUUAUAUUACUGCACAAUACUCUGGCACAUAAAAUAAAAAAGCGCAAUUUUGUAAAUAUAUUCCCAAGACGCUAGUCAACACCACAACCGAUGUAUUCACCUUUUUCUAUUCAAUAAAUGAACAUAGACAACAAUUGUAUCAUAAAAGAAUCAUUAGUGGCUGCUUACACGGCGCAUUUUUUAUUAAGUUAUUUUGUGCUAUAUUACAAUAUUUACGAUAAACUAUGAAAUAUUUGUUUUUUUCUAAAUUGAUCGCAAACUGUUAAUUUCAGCUUAAGUUAUAUCAACACAGAUGAAUAAAUGUCAUAUUAUGGGUGUAACAUUGUAUCGACUGAUAGCUGGCAGAGCACAACCUACACUCAAUUAUAAAUUGGUGAAUAUUUAUCGCUAUAUAAUGUAAAAGAAAUAAUAUGCAUAACGAAAUAAUUAAAUUCUUUAUGUUCUUUA